rnacentral:rRNA from 1 species
CCUACGGGGGGCAGCAGUGGGGAAUAUUGCACAAUGGGGGGAACCCUGAUGCAGCGACGCCGCGUGGGUGAGGAAGUACUUCGGUAUGUAAAGCCCUAUCAGCAGGGAAGAAAAUGACGGUACCUGACGAAGAAGCCCAGGCUAACUACGUGCCAGCAGCCGCGGGAAUACGGGGGGGGCAAGCGUUACCCGGAUUUACUGGGUGGAAAGGGGGCGGAGGAGGGGAGGCAAGGCUGAUGUGAAAGGCCGGGGCUCAACCCCGGGACGGCAUUGGAAACUGGCAUGCUGGAGUGCCGGAGAGGCAAGCGGAAUUCCGGGUGUAGCGGUGAAAUGCGUAGAUAUUAGGAGGAACACCGGUGGCGAAGGCGGCUUGCUGGACGGUAACUGACGUUGAGGCUCGAAAGCGUGGGGAGCAAACAGGAUUAGAUACCCCUGUAGUC